CGAACGGAAGAGAAAGAGCUUGCUCUUUUGAUUCUAGUGGCAAACGGGUGAGUAACACGUAAACACCUGCCUUCAGGAUGGGGACAACAGACGGAAACGACUGCUAAUACCGAAUACCUCCGCAUGGAGAAAGGUGGCCUUCUUGAAGCUAUCGCCUGAAGAGGGGUUUGCGUCUGAUUAGCUAGUUGGUGAGGUAACGGCCCACCAAGGCGACGAUCAGUAGCCGGUCUGAGAGGAUGAACGGCCACACUGGAACUGAGACACGGUCCAGACUCCUACGGGAGGCAGCAGUGGGGAAUCUUCCGCAAUGGACGAAAGUCUGACGGAGCAACGCCGCGUGAACGAUGAAGGUCUUCGGAUUGUAAAGUUCUGUGAUCCGGGACGAAGCAUUGAUUGAGAAUAUUGAUUGAUGUUGACGGUACCGGAAAAGCAAGCCACGGCUAACUACGUGCCAGCAGCCGCGGUAAUACGUAGGUGGCAAGCGUUGUCCGGAAUUAUUGGGCGUAAAGCGCGCGCAGGCGGCCGUGCAAGUCUAUCUUAAAAGCGUGGGGCUUAACCCCAUGAGGGGAUGGAAACUGCAGGGCUGGAGUGUCGGAGGGGAAAGUGGAA
rnacentral:rRNA from 1 species